rnacentral:tRNA from 1 species
GGAUAUAGCUCAGCAGCACAGCACCUGCCUGGCAGGCAGGAGGUCAUGAGUUAGAUUCUCACUGCCA